ensembl:miRNA
CUCAUGCAGUGACACUCUAAAUGGAAGCACUGUCUGUGGUCUAAGAAAAGAUCGUGCAGCCUUUUAGAGUGUUACUGUUUGAGAAAA